GCUGCUGCUGUUGCUGCUGCGACGCCGAGGACGAGCCGGCGGUCAGGCCGUCCAGCACCUUCCUGAUGUUGAAUUUCCUCAUGGUCUCGGAGGGGCUCCCCCGCAGCCCGGGAGGGGAGGCACAGGGGGUCCCCGGGCGGGGGAGACCACCCGGGGCCGAAGGCAGCUUCGACCGCGGAAACGGAGGAGUGGGAGUGUGAGGAGAAAUAUGCAAUGAUGACAUUUCCAAGAAGUGAUGGCAUCUGGCGCUAAGGACAAAGAAUGGGAUUUUGCCACAGGGAUCUUAUUCUCCCACAUGUUCUGUCUGAAGGAGAAAGUUAUCUGAGGCCUUAUAUGAUGCAAAACUUUGGACUCAAAGAAAUUAAAUCACUUGCCCAAGGUUACAUAGCUGCCCCUGGCAAACACCAUUCUACUUUCCGUCUCUAUGAAUUUGACUACUCGAAGUACCUCAUGUGAAAUGUUGGUGCCAAAUGAACUUUUCUGGUUCUUCUGAAUAUGCCACUGUUGCUGGAGAAAUGUCACUGCUAGAGAACAGAAGACUAUUAUUCCAAAGGGUAUUUGAGACUGACUGAAUCAGGUCUGGAACAUUAUUGAAAUGAGACCCACAAAAGAAGAGAUACUGAGGUGGUGACCAGAUGGAUAUAAACGGGCUGUGGAAAAAGAGAAUGCAUGGCCAAAAAUGGUGGUGCUCUCUGUCCAAAAACUGAGGCCCUAUGACCAUGAAUGAAGCCAGAGGGCAGGUAGGAAUAGAUCAUUUGCUCCAGAAGAAGCUGGUUGCCAUGUCUUGAGGACAGUAAACCCUCUGGGGAGGUUCCUGUGGUAAGGAACAAGGGCUCCUGGCAAUAGCCUCUGAGUGAGCCACCUUGAAAAUGGAUUGUCCAGCCCCAGUCAAGCUUUCAGAUGACUGUAGCUCCUGCCAAUGUCUUCACCACAACCUCAUGAGAUCCCAAGCUACAACCACUCAGUUAAGUUAUGCCAAAAUUCCUGAUUCACAGAAAUUGACAUACAGGAGAGGUCACAGUUAAGAUCUUGAUGUUCUAUCUUGACCCAUAAUAUAGGAACUUCAUCUUUUGGGAAGCACCAGGGAGAGCUGCCUGUGCCUGGCAGAAGCUGCCCAUGCCCCACUGAUACCCCACAGUACUUCCUGUUCUGCUUAGUACUCCUGCUUCUUUCUACAAACAACUGUGAUUCUCUACCUGGGAGCUUCCUCUGGCCACAGGAGCCUGCUCACCUGAUUGGGACACCCUAGCAGUACUGGCUCAUAGAUGGAAGGGACUUGCCUUGUCGCUGAUGAGACUUUCGACUUGGACUUUUGAGUCAAUGCUGGAAUGAGUUAAGACUUUGGGGAACUGUUGGAAGGGUGUGAUUGUGUUUUGAAUUGUGAGGACAUGAGAUUUUGAAGAGGCUAAUGGCAGCGUCCCCACCUAAAUCUCUUCUUGAAUUGUAGUUCCCAUAAUCCCCACGUGUCGUGGGGUGGAGCCGGUGGAGAUAAUUGAAUCAUGGGAACACUUUCCCCCAUGCUGUUAUUGUGAUUGUGAAUUCUCACGAGAUCUGAUGGUUGUAUAAACGCCUUCCCUCUUCGCUGGGCACUCAUUUUUCUCCUUCCUGCCACCAUGUGAAGAAGGAUAUGCUUGCUUCUUGUGCCAUGAUUACAAGAACACACUCAGAAAUUUUCUCAACACAGUUUCUAUGCAGAGAAGAGAUGUGGGACAGAUUUGAACUGCUGUCAUAUUUGUAUGAACCCAAGACAUUUUCCAAGACCAAGAGGGAUAAAGACAGCAAUUUCUAUGACUGGCAUUUUACGUGCAUGCACUGUUUCCAAGUGUUCUUGUGUUCUGUGCCUUAAACAUUCUGUGUUGCAACUUUAUGAAUUGAAUUAAAGAUAAUCCCAAGCCCCCAAUUGUCUCAAAAAGUGAAAAAGUAAAUGUUAUAGAAAGAAAAGCGGGAAAAACUUUAAGCAUGAAAUAAAAGAUGGGUUGUGAUAAAAGAGGACUGAAGAAGGAAAAGGAAUGAAAGGUUCUGCCAUCCUUCAUGGCAGCCCACUCCACUUGGUAUGAGAUACUGCUCCCUUGGCUGAAAGUUAACUGCUGUACUCCCUCCACUUUCUAUAAAUGACUCCCUGUGCCUUUCCUUCACCACACAACUCACACUCUCUUCCUUCCUAGUGAGUCCACUAAGGCUUCACUGCAUUAUUACAUUUAUUUCAUUUAGGAAAAACUGACUUUAUUUUCCUUCAAAUUGUUUUUUAUUGUUUAUAUGAGCUUGGUUUUAUUGUCAUUCUAUUUUUCUCCAUGAAAAUAGAGAAAAAUAGGGUCGAAAGGUUAGGUUGGGUGGAAAGGAAUUAUAUUUUUUCUCACUAAAAUUGAUGUAAAUAUCGUUUUCAAUUGAAUGAUUUUACACAGUGGCACAGUUUCAGGUAUGUUGCUAAGCAGGAAAGUUGUUAACCAAAGCAUGAAUGUAUUAAGGAGAUGUAUGCAGAAUGACAUGCAAGGUUAUCUAUGAUUGCUGAGUGAGAAAGAGCAAGUUGCUGAGUAUUAUAUAAGUAUGAUCUCACUUUUGUAAAAAAAAAAAAAAAAAAAGGCCUGGACUGAUCUGAAAUGACCCUAUUAAUAACAAUUAUGUCCAGGUCUGUAUUGCAUACUUGUCAUUCAUUACAGGAUCUUGAGACACAAUGCAAAGGAUCACAUCGCAGCUCUGUAACUUGUUAACUAUAAGAUUUUGAGUAACAUAACACCUUACUCCUUAAAAUUGCUUAAAAAAAAUCUGAACAUCAGGAAUAUUCUACUUCACAGGGUCGUUGUGAUAAUUAAAUGUAGUAAUCAAUGACAAUAGUGCCAGAUACAGUAGAUAGCCUACACUUUGCAGCUACUAUUUCUAUCUAUCAUCCAUCUAUUAAUAUAUAUCAUCUAUCUUUAACUUAUCAUCUAUCUUGUUCCAGUUUUUUAAAAUGAACAUGUAUUAACUUUGUAAAAAAUUAAGGCUAUAAGAUGUGCUGAGCUUUUGGAAUAGAUUUUCCUGUACUAUAUAUGACUGCCAGUGGGAGAAUUUGAAUAAAUGUGUAAAUUUGACUAAAAAAAAAAAA
rnacentral:lncRNA from 1 species